CAGUCGCCGCGGUAAUACGAAGGGUGCAAGCGUUAAUCGGAAUUACUGGGCGUAAAGCGCGCGUAGGUGGUUUGGUAAGAUGGAUGUGAAAUCCCCGGGCUCAACCUGGGAACUGCAUCCAUAACUGCCUGACUAGAGUACGGUAGAGGGUGGUGGAAUUUCCUGUGUAGCGGUGAAAUGCGUAGAUAUAGGAAGGAACACCAGUGGCGAAGGCGACCACCUGGACUGAUACUGACACUGAGGUGCGAAAGCGUGGGGAGCAAACAGGAUUAGAUACCCCUGUAGUCCCUGUCUCUUAUAC
rnacentral:rRNA from 1 species